UACGUAGGGUGCGAGCGUUAAUCGGAAUUACUGGGCGUAAAGCGUGCGCAGGCGGUUCGUUGUGUCGGUGGUGAAAGCCCCGGGCUCAACCUGGGAAUGGCCAUGGAAACUGGCGAACUGGAGUGUGGCAGAGGGGGGUGGAAUUCCGCGUGUAGCAGUGAAAUGCGUAGAGAUGCGGAGGAACACCGAUGGCGAAGGCAGCCCCCUGGGCUAGCACUGACGCUCAUGUACGAAAGCGUGGGGAGCAAACAGG
rnacentral:rRNA from 1 species